rnacentral:rRNA from 1 species
UUGCGGUUAAAAAGCUCGUAGUUGGAUCUCAACAGCCUUGAAGCGGUUAACUUUGUAGUUUUACUGCUUUAUAGGCUGUGCUUUUGCUGGAGGUUUAGUGGUGCUCUUGAUCGAGUGUCUCUGGAUGCCAGCAGGUUUACUUUGAAAAAAUUAGAGUGCUCAAAGCAGGCUAAAAUGCCUGAAUAUUCGUGCAUGGAAUAAUAGAAUAGGAUGUCGAUCCUAUUUUGUUGGUUUUCGGGACUCGACAUAAUGAUAAAUAGGGACAGUCGGGGGCAUUUGUACUCAAACGACAGAGGUGAAAUUCUUGGACCGUUUGAAGACAAACUACUGCGAAAGCAUUUGCCAAGAAUGUUUUCAUUAAUCAAGAACGAAAGUUAGAGGUUCGAAGGCGAUUAGAUACCGCCCUAGUUCUAACCAUAAACGAUGCCAGCUAGCGAUCUGCCUGCGUUUUUACUGUAGACUGGGCAGGAAGCUUCCGGGAUACCAAAGCAUUUGGGUUCCAGGGGAAGUAUGGUUGCAAAGCUGAAACUUAAAGGAAUUGACGGAAGGGCACCACCAGGAGUGGAGCCUGUGGCUUAAUUUGACUCA